rnacentral:rRNA from 1 species
UACGUAGGGUGCAAGCGUUGUCCGGAAUUAUUGGGCGUAAAGGGCUCGUAGGCGGUCCAUCGCGUCGGGAGUGAAAAGCUGGGGCUUAACCCCAGUCCUGCUUCCGAUACGGGUGGACUAGAGGUAGGUAGGGGAGAACGGAAUUCCUGGUGUAGCGGUGAAAUGCGCAGAUAUCAAGCGGAACACCGGUGGCGAAGGCGGCCUUCUGGACAGUAACUGACGCUGAGACGCGAAAGCGUGGGGAGCAAACAGG